UAGGGAAUCUUCGGCAAUGGACGAAAGUCUGACCGAGCAACGCCGCGUGAGUGAAGAAGGUUUUCGGAUCGUAAAACUCUGUUGUUAGAGCAGAACAAGGACGUUAGUAACUGAACGUCUCCUGACGGUAUCUAACCAGAAAGCCACGGCUAACUACGUGCCAGCAGCCGCGGUAAUACGUAGGUUGCAAGCGUUGUCCGGAUUUAUUGGGCGUAAAGCGAGCGCAGGCGGUUUCUUAAGUCUGAUGUGAAAGCGCCCGGCUCAACCGGGGGGGGUAAUUGGAAACUGAGAAACUUGAAUGCAGAAGAGGAGAGGGGAAUUACAUGUGUAGCAGUGAAAUGCGUAGAUAUAUGGAGGAACACCAGUGGCGAAGGCGGCGCUCUGGGCAGUAACUGACGCUGAGGCUCGAAAGCGUGGGGAGCAAACAGG
rnacentral:rRNA from 1 species